rnacentral:rRNA from 1 species
AUUGAACGCUGGCGGCAGGCUUAACACAUGCAAGUCGAGCGUGCGGCGGACGGGUGAGUAGUUUCUGGGAAACUGCCUGAUGGAGGGGGAUAACUACUGGAAACGGUAGCUAAUACCGCAUACCAUCAGAUGUGUCCACAUGGGCUUAGCUAGUGGGUGGGGUAAUGGCUCACCAAGGCGACGAUCCCUAGCUGGGUUGAGAGGCUGACCAGCCACACUGGAACUGAGACACGGUCCAGACUCCUACGGGAGGCAGCAGUGGGGAAUAUUGCACAAUGGGCGCAAGCCUGAUGCAGCCAUGCCGCGUGUGUGAAGAAGGCCUUCGGGUUGUAAAGCACUUUCAGCGAGGAGGCGUUACUCGCAGAAGAAGCAACGGCUAACUCCGUGCCAGCAGCCGCGGUAAUUC